CCUACGGGUGGCAGCAGUGGGGGAUAUUGCACAAUGGGGGAAAGCCUGAUGCAGCGACGCCGCGUGUGUGAAGAAGGAUUUCGGGUUGUAAAGCACUAUCAGCAGGGAGGAAAAUGAUAGUACUAGUCAACUAAGCGCCGGCUAACUACGUGCCAGCAGCCGCGGUAAUACGGAGGGGGCAAGCGUUAUCCGGAUUUACUGGGUGUAAGGGGAGCGUAGACGGUUAUGUAAGUCUGGUGUGAAAGCCCGGGGCCCAACCCCGGGACUGCAUUGGAAACUGGGUAACUAGAGUACAGGAGGGGCAGGCGGAAUUCCUGGUGUAGCGGUGAAAUGCGUAGAGAUCAGGAGGAACACCGGCGGCGAAGGCGGCCUGCUGGACUGAGACUGACGUUGAGGCGCGAAAGCGUGGGGAGCAAACAGGAUUAGAUACCCGGGUAGUC
rnacentral:rRNA from 1 species